GACGAACGCUGGCGGCGUGCUUAACACAUGCAAGUCGAACGGAAAGGCCCUGCUUUUGUGGGGUGCUCGAGUGGCGAACGGGUGAGUAACACGUGAGUAACCUGCCCUUGACUUUGGGAUAACUUCAGGAAACUGGGGCUAAUACCGGAUAGGAGCUCCUGCUGCAUGGUGGGGGUUGGAAAGUUUCGGCGGUUGGGGAUGGACUCGCGGCUUAUCAGCUUGUUGGUGGGGUAGUGGCUUACCAAGGCUUUGACGGGUAGCCGGCCUGAGAGGGUGACCGGCCACAUUGGGACUGAGAUACGGCCCAGACUCCUACGGGAGGCAGCAGUGGGGAAUAUUGCACAAUGGGCGGUAGCCUGAUGCAGCAACGCCGCGUGCGGGAUGACGGCCUUCGGGUUGUAAACCGCUUUCGCUCAUGACGAAGCUUUGUGUGACGGUAGUGGGUAAAGAAGCACCGGCUAACUACGUG
rnacentral:rRNA from 1 species